rnacentral:rRNA from 1 species
UACGGAGGGUGCGAGCAUUGUCCGGAAUCACUGGGCGUAAAGGGCGCGUAGGCGGCUUGAUAAGGUUGCGGUGAAAGCCCGGGGCUCAACCCCGGGUCGGCCGUGGCAACUGUCGAGCUGGAGCACUGUAGAGGCAGGUGGAAUUCCGGGUGUAGCGGUGGAAUGCGUAGAGAUCCGGAAGAACACCGGUGGCGAAGGCGGCCUGCUGGGCAGUGGCUGACGCUGAGGCGCGACAGCGUGGGGAGCAAACAGG